CCCAGUUCUGAUUGGUCUAGAGUAUGGUCUACUGCGCAUCUGGUUACUUGUUUCACCUUUCUUCUUACAUCAUGUGUGAUCAUAAUUUCUUCCACCAUGCGUGUGAUGUGUAGUAAUAAUCUCUUUGGUGAUGUGCGCACGUUUAUUUAUUCGCUGUUUUCUGAUAUCAGUAACUGGUAAAUGUUACUGAAUGUUACGUGUGAUGAGUAACGAUACACAAGAUCCUUACUGUUUGAUUAAAAAAGUAAAAAGCCAAACAUGCCAACUUGUUGCAUACUUGGAUGCGGUAAUCGCAACAUAAAAGGUUCCAAAAUUUUCAUGGCUCGUUUUCCAAGUGAUCCG
rnacentral:lncRNA from 13 species